GGGGACGUUACGGAUUCGACAGGGGUAGUUUGAGCUUAAGUUGCGAGUCGAGGGGUCGGCCUCGUUAAAACGCACAAGCCAAUAACUGGCAAACAAAACAACAACCUAGCUUUCGCUGCUUAAUAACAGUCGAUAAGCUGUUCCUCCCUCCAUCGUCCAUGUGGUAGGGUAAGGGACUCACUCUUAGUGGACUACGCCGGAUCUCGCCGUCUGAGGGAAAAGGAAGAGAGUAAUCAGACUAGCAAUGCGGAAGCCUGUCGAUUGGCCGAAGCAUUCGCGAAAUGCUAAUAAAUCGACUACACUCGUAGAAGCUUAAGUGGCAAUAUCUUUGGACGUGGGUUCGACUCCCACCGUCUCCACCA
rnacentral:tmRNA from 1 species